rnacentral:lncRNA from 1 species
UGCAAGAUUGAUCAAGCCAUUAAAGAAAAUUAAGGAUAAUAAUAAAAAACAGAUGCAGAAUUUCACUAGACAUGAUGGGGAUCAAGAAGAAGCUGGAAGGGGCAGAGAAACAAGUUGUCCUCUAGCUAAAUCUGUUGCUAGGAUCUACCCCCAAAUAGUGGGAGAAUUCUUAACCCUUAACCCUUUGUGGCAAUUAACAGUUGAAAAAGGGUGCAUGUUUUGAGAGCUGCAGAAUGCAAGGUGAUGGCUGCAUUGUUGAGGGCACUGUCAUAUUUAAAAGUACAGAGUUAAAUAAGAGGGAA